rnacentral:rRNA from 1 species
AUUGAACGCUGGCGGCAGGCUUAACACAUGCAAGUCGAGCGGGGUGAUGGUGCUUGCACUAUCACUUAGCGGCGGACGGGUGAGUAAUGCUUAGGAAUCUGCCUAUUAGUGGGGGACAACAUCUCGAAAGGGAUGCUAAUACCGCAUACGUCCUACGGGAGAAAGCAGGGGAUCACUUGUGACCUUGCGCUAAUAGAUGAGCCUAAGUCGGAUUAGCUAGUUGGUGGGGUAAAGGCCUACCAAGGCGACGAUCUGUAGCGGGUCUGAGAGGAUGGUCCGCCACACUGGGACUGAGACACGGCCCAGACUCCUACGGGAGGCAGCAGUGGGGAAUAUUGGACAAUGGGGGGAACCCUGAUCUAGCCAUGCCGCGUGUGUGAAGAAGGCCUUAUGGUUGUAAAGCACUUUAAGCGAGGAGGAGGCUCUUUUGGUUAAUACCCAAGAUGAGUGGACGUUACUCGCAGAAUAAGCACCGGCUAACUCUGUGCCAGCAGCCGCGGUAA